GGGCCAGUAGCAUAGCGGCCAAUGCAACGAGCUUAUACCUCGUCGACCGAAGGUUCGAGUCCUUCCUGGCCCA
rfam:Parcubacteria (Jorgensenbacteria) bacterium GW2011_GWA2_45_13 TW92_C0007, whole genome shotgun sequence.